UUUUGCCUGCUCAAGGGGUAGA
rnacentral:miRNA from 1 species